UUGACCUCAAAUCAGGUAGGACCACCCGCUGAACUUAAGCAUAUCAAUAAGCGGAGGAAAAGAAACUAACAAGGAUUCCCCUAGUAACUGCGAGUGAAGAGGGAAAAGCUCAAAUUUGUAAUCUGGCGGUCUUUGACUGUCCGAGUUGUAAUCUAGAGAAGUGUUACCUGCGCUGGACCAUGUACAAGUCUCCUGGAAUGGAGCAUCAUAGAGGGUGAGAAUCCCGUCUUUGACAUGGACUUCCAGAGCUUAUAGGUGUGCUCUCAAAGAGUCGAGUUGUUUGGGAAUGCAGCUCAAAAUGGGUGGUAAAUGCCAUCUAAAGCUAAAUAUUGGCGAGAGACCGAUAGCGAACAAGUACCGUGAGGGAAAGAUGAAAAGAACUUUGGAAAGAGAGUUAAACAGUACGUGAAAUUGCUGAAAGGGAAACGCUUGAAGUCAGUCGCAUCAGUUGGAAAUCAACCUUGCUUUUGCUGGGCGUACUUUCUGUCUGAUGGGUCAGCAUCAAUUUUGAUUGCUGGAUAAAGUUCUUGGGAAUGUGGCAUCUUUGGAUGUGUUAUAGCCUUUGGACAUAUACAGUGGUUGGGAUUGAGGAACUCAGCA
rnacentral:rRNA from 1 species